GGCUCGGUUGCGCGUGGUGCGCAUCUGCCAGCGACAUGUUCAUGAAGCGCACCGCUACAUAGCAGAGUCCCCGGUUCGAUUCCGGGCUGAGUGA